CCUACGGGAGGCAGCAGUGGGGAAUUUUGGACAAUGGGGGAAACCCUGAUCCAGCCAUUCCGCGUGAGUGAAGAAGGCCUUCGGGUUGUAAAGCUCUUUCGGCAGGAACGAAACGGCGGACUCUAACAUAGUCUGUCAAUGACGGUACCUGAAGAAGAAGCACCGGCUAACUACGUGCCAGCAGCCGCGGUAAUACGUAGGGUGCGAGCGUUAAUCGGAAUUACUGGGCGUAAAGCGUGCGCAGGCGGCUUGGUAAGACGGAUGUAAAAUCCCAGAGCUUAACUCUGGAACUGCCUUUGAUACUGCAGAUCUCGAGUUUGGGAGAGGCGAGUGAAAUAUCUGGUGUAGCAGUGAGAUGCGUAGAUAUCAGAUAGAACACCAAUGGCGAAGGCAGCUCCCUGGCCCAAUACUGACGCUAAAGCACGAAAGCGUGGGGAGCAAACAGGAUUAGAUCCCCCUGUAGU
rnacentral:rRNA from 1 species